rnacentral:rRNA from 1 species
UACGAAGGGUGCAAACGUUGCUCGGAAUUAUUGGGCGUAAAGCGCACGUAGGCGGCAUUGCAAGUCGGAUGUGAAAUCCCUCGGCUUAACCAAGGAAGUGCAUCCGAAACUGCUGUGCUUGAGUACUUAAGAGGAUCGCGGAAUUCCCGGUGUAGAGGUGAAAUUCGUAGAUAGUCGGGAGGAACACCCGUGGCUAAGGCGGCUCUCUAGUACGGUACUGACGCUGAGACGCGAAAGCGUGGGGAGCGAACAGG